CAGAGGUGGUUUGGAGCAACUUGGCAGUAUAAAAUUGUUUAUCGGGCUGAGAUCCAUUGCUCCCUAAAGGAGUUCCAAUUGGAGCAAGUGGCUGCGACAUCACGAUAGUAUAUCCAGUGGACACAUCCUUAUAAACAGAUCCGUGCGCCUCUGAAGCUAUAACAUCUGAGUAAUUAUUCUUAUUUUGUGUUUCUCCACCCACAUAUGCAAAGAUUUUAUUUAGGCUAGCUGUGAUUGCAAUACUUUGUCUAGUCGUCCGAGGUAUGCGUGGAGGCUUAGAAACACGGGAUAUCGCCUUGAUCUCUUUUUCUCUUUGUUCUCGCCUAUCAUU
rnacentral:lncRNA from 1 species